rnacentral:rRNA from 1 species
ACGAGGUAAAUAGUUGUUUCAAUGGAGGCAGUCGCAAUUCCACACAACAUACUCAUCGGAUUCGAUUAGCUAUGCGUAUAUUUGCUAUACACACGCUUUAGAAUUUAUUCUCCUUUCAACACUGUGAACAAAUCAGAGUGUAUCAAACAUGUCGUUUUUGAAUGUGCAUUGAAUGUCUUAUCAUGGGAUGUUGCACUUUCUGCGUUAAAAAUUUAUUACUGCUUCGUGCUGUAAUUAUUUUUUUACACACACACACACACACAUACGCACAUGUUGUAUGCCACGUAAAUAAUUUUUAACGGUUAAAAAUGUCGAUGGGGAUAGUUGGAGUCAACAGUACUGCUGGGCGAGAGGUGAAAUUCAUUGACCCUAGCAAGACUACCAAAAGCGAAAGCAGUUGGCUAGGCUAUACUCUUUGUGAUUAUAUAUAUUUUAUCACGCAUAAAUAUACACACACACACAUACACACUCACGUAUAUACAUGCGGUCAGUAUAUAUACAUACACUUUACAAUGAAGAACGAAGGUUGGGGGAUCAAAGAGGAUCAGAUACCCUCGUCGUCCCAUUAAUUACAUCAAACGAUGGGCUCUCAAUUGCAUUUUCUCGUAAAUUGCAAAUUUCCUCAGCCUACAAAAUGAAUUGGCUUGAGCUCGUAUUAUUCGUAAUACGCUCGCCUCACUAUUUUCGUACGGUCUCGAUGGACGUUUCAUUUAUAUUUUUUUGCGUGUAAGAUGUUAUUCUUUGAAACAUAAGAAUGCAUUGCGUGCACUUGAUUUUCGGAGCUUUGCGCUCAAUUCUGGUGAGAUGUAAGCACUAUGUCAUACUGCCCGCAGCGUAUGCCUUCGGGCAUUUCGUUCUGUCGUGUGUAGUUGACAAUUUUGGUGUGAAGCACGCUUUAGGCACGCGCUUACUGCAGAAAUGUCUGAGACAUUCCCUUCCGGGGGUGUAUGCACGCAAGUGUGAAACUUGAAGGAAUUGACGGAAGGGCACCACAAGAACGCGUGGAGCAUGUGGCUUAAUUUGACCCAACGCGGGAAAUCUUACCGGGUCCGGACACACUGAGGAUUGACAGGCAAUAUUAGCUUCUUUCGCUUUCGGGCAAAGUUGUUAUGUUAUUAAAUAUGCUAGUCCUUUCAUGAUUAUGUGAUAGGUGGUGCAUGGCCGUUCUUAGUUCGUGGAGUGAUCUGUCUGCUUAAUUGCGUUUCACCAAGGGCCUAUAAUUUUACGUGUGUUGCGGCACUUUGACCCCUCUUUUUUUAAAGAGCGCGUGUCUUGGUUUGCUUAGCUCGCACAAUUAGGUCCUGAAAGCUAUGUGUUGUGUUGUGUAGUGUUAGCAUAGUAUGUGUGUGUACUCGAGGAGUCACACAAAUAUUUUUAUGCACAGAAAGCCUUUUAAACUAGAGGGACCGCUGUUACUUUCUUAAACCAGAGGAAGGUUGCGGCAAUAACAGGUCUGUGAUGCCCUUAGAUGUUCCGGGCUGCACACGUGCUACAAUGAUUAUUGCAGUGAGCAUCUCAUUUUUAUUAUUCACACCGCAUGCGCGAGACCAUUUAUUCUCUCUUCGCGAGUGUUUUAAAUGUGUAUCUCUGCGCGCGGUAAAGCCUACUUCGAAAGUAAGCGGGUAAUCAAUUAGAAGUAAUGAUUUCCUAUAUUUUAUUGUAUCACACACUCUCGUAUGGUAUAAUAAUUCUGCACACAUAUAUACGGCAUCUUUACCCGGGUAGCCUUGUUGUUACUUUUUGUGCGUAUCGAUGUUUUUUUCCGUAUGUGCGAUUGUCAAUUCGGUCUUAACUAGGAAUGCCUUGUACUGGUCUUUGGUUCAACAAACCACCAGGAAUACGUCCCUGCCCUUUGUACACACCGCCCGUCGCUCUUACCGAUGGACUUCUCUGUGAGUUUGAGGGCUGGGAACGCAUAUAAUUUCGAUUAUUUGCACACCUAUGGAAACUUAAACGAACAGUGUGGUCUAAAGGAAAGAGAAGUCGUAAC